CUAGCGACUUCAGAGUUUGAUCCUGGCUCAGGAUGAACGCUGGCGGCGUGCCUAACACAUGCAAGUCGAACGAAGCAUUUUUGUGGAAUUCUUCGGAAGGAAGGAAAAAUGACUGAGUGGCGGACGGGUGAGUAACGCGUGGGUAACCUGCCUCAUACAGGGGGAUAACAGUCAGAAAUGACUGCUAAUACCGCAUAAGCGCACAGCAUCGCAUGAUGCCGUGUGAAAAACUCCGGUGGUAUGAGAUGGACCCGCGUCUGAUUAGCUAGUUGGCAGGGUAACGGCCUACCAAGGCGACGAUCAGUAGCCGACCUGAGAGGGUGACCGGCCACAUUGGGACUGAGACACGGCCCAA
rnacentral:rRNA from 1 species